rnacentral:lncRNA from 1 species
UACAUCUGAAAGCGAUACAAUUAUACAAACGUUUUAAUUCAGUAGUCAAACCUUAAACACACAACAACAAAGUUAGAUGCUAUAAAUUAGAUGUUACAAGCAAGGACUUGUCGGCUUUAUUUUACACUGCCUACACUAAAAUCCUAAUACAAGUCUUUGAAAACAAUGCAAGUAAUUUCAUCAAAACCUAUACAAAACUUCAAAUCCCCAAAAAAGCUUCCUCAGAAAACACCUGCUUAUGUCAUGUUUCAAUUCCACACGCAAAGUAAGAUUCCAAUACUUUCUUAAUCACAUUACAACUCAUGUUGGAUAUAUUGUGUAUACAUCACAAAUGAUUCUAGC